GCCAAUUCCAGAAACCCCACGUAGGCUUAAACCUCCACCGGCGGCUGAUUUCAAUUUCCAACAACCAAUUGAGGAGCCCCGAACCCGAUCCUUCCGGUCAGCUCCACGGGCACGAUCAGAUAGGCAUGUUUUGAAUCUAUUGACCCGACCCGCAAUGGGAGUUGCCUCAGAUUGGUGCUUCCCGUCUCCAUUGCUGAAGCGAACAACAGAGAAGAAUACGAAGAAGAAGAAGAGUCAUCAGA
rnacentral:misc_RNA from 1 species